AUUGAACGCUGGCGGCAGGCUUAACACAUGCAAGUCGAGCGGGGUGAUGGUGCUUGCACUAUCACUUAGCGGCGGACGGGUGAGUAAUGCUUAGGAAUCUGCCUAUUAGUGGGGGACAACAUCUCGAAAGGGAUGCUAAUACCGCAUACGUCCUACGGGAGAAAGCAGGGGAUCACUUGUGACCUUGUGCUAAUAGAUGAGCCUAAGUCGGAUUAGCUAGUUGGUGGGGUAAAGGCCUACCAAGGCGACGAUCUGUAGCGGGUCUGAGAGGAUGAUCCGCCACACUGGGACUGAGACGCGGCCCAGACUCCUACGGGAGGCAGCAGUGGGGAAUAUUGGACAAUGGGGGGAACCCUGAUCCAGCCAUGCCGCGUGUGUGAAGAAGGCCUUAUGGUUGUAAAGCACUUUAAGCGAGGAGGGGGCUUACCUAGUUAAUACCUGGGAUAAGUGGACGUUACUCGCAGAAUAAGCACCGGCUAACUCUGUGCCAGCCGCCGCAGUAA
rnacentral:rRNA from 1 species